rnacentral:rRNA from 1 species
UUGUUGGUAAGGUAAAAGCUUACCAAGGCUUCGAUCAGUAGCUGGUCUGAGAGGACGACCAGCCACACUGGGACUGAGACACGGCCCAGACUCCUACGGGAAGCAGCAGUGGGGAAUUUUGGACAAUGGGGGCAACCCUGAUCCAGCCAUGCCGCGUGAGUGAAGAAGGCSUUCGGGUUGUAAAGCUCUUUCAGCCGGAACGAAACGGUUACGGAUAACACCCGUGACUACUGACGGUACCGGAAGAAGAAGCACCGGCUAACUACGUGCCAGCAGCCGCGGUAAUACGUAGGGUGCGAGCGUUAAUCGGAAUUACUGGGCGUAAAGCGUGCGCAGGUGGUUUUGUAAGUCAGAUGUGAAAGCCCCGGGCUCAACCUGGGAACUGCGUUUGAAACUACAAGACUAGAGUGUGGCAGAGGGGGGUGGAAUUCCGCGUGUAGCAGUGAAAUGCGUAGAGAUGUGGAGGAACACCGAUGGCGAAGGCAGCCCCCUGGGUCAACACUGACGCUCAGGCACGAAAGCAUGGGGAGCAAACAGGAUUAGAUACCCUGGUAGUCCAUGCCCUAAACGAUGUCAACUAGUUGUCGGGCCUUUACGGGCUUGGUAACGUAGCUAACGCGUGAAGUUGACCGCCUGGGGAGUACGAUCGCAAGAUUAAAACUCAAAUGAAUUGACGGGGACCCGCACAAGCGGUGGAUUAUGUGGAUUAAUUCGAUGCAACGCGAAAAACCUUACCUACCCUUGACAUGUAUCGAAGCCCGCAGAAAAGCGGGGGUGCCCGAAAGGGAACGAUAACACAGGUGCUGCAUGGCUGUCGUCAGCUCGUGUCGUGAGAUGUUGGGUUAAGUCCCGCAACGAGCGCAACCCUUGUCAUUAAUUGCCAUCAUUUAGUUGGGCACUUUAAUGAGACUGCCGG